GACGAACGCUGGCGGCGUGCCUAAUACAUGCCAGUAGAACGCUGAAGGAGGAGCUUGCUUCUCUGGAUGAGUUGCGAACGGGUGAGUAACGCGUAGGUAACCUGCCUGGUAGCGGGGGAUAACUAUUGGAAACGAUAGCUAAUACCGCAUAAGAGUAGAUGUCGCAUGACAUUUGCUUAAAAGGUGCAAUUGCAUCACUACCAGAUGGACCUGCGUUGUAUUAGCUAGUUGGUGAGGUAACGGCUCACCAAGGCAACGAUACAUAGCCGACCUGAGAGGGUGAUCGGCCACACUGGGACUGAGACACGGCCCAGACUCCUACGGGAGGCAGCAGUAGGGAAUCUUAGGCAAUGGACGGAAGUCUGACCGAGCAACGCCGCGUGAGUGAAGAAGGUUUUCGGAUCGUAAAGCUCUGUUGUAAGAGAAGAACGAGUGUGAGAGUGGAAAGUUCACACUGUGACGGUAUCUUACCAGAAAGGGACGGCUAACUACGUG
rnacentral:rRNA from 1 species